rnacentral:rRNA from 1 species
UACGGGGGGAGCAAGCGUUGUUCGGAAUUACUGGGCGUAAAGCGUGCGCAGGCGGUUUUGUAAGCCAGAUGUGAAAGCCCCGGGCUUAACCUGGGAAUGGCAUUUGGGACUGCAAGGCUUGAGUGCGGCAGAGGAGACUGGAAUUCCUGGUGUAGCAGUGAAAUGCGUAGAUAUCAGGAGGAAUACCGAUGGCGAAGGCAGGUCUCUGGGCUGACACUGACGCUCAUGCACGAAAGCGUGGGGAGCAAACAGG